rnacentral:rRNA from 1 species
AAUCGAUAGUGAAAAAGUACUGUGAAGGAACGAUGAAAAGAUUAUCUAGGUUGAGUGAAAAGAUCUUACAAUUUUUUUUCGAUAAGUAAUCAAAGUUUUUAUAAAAAAUAAUGAUGUACCUUUUGCAUCAUGGGCCAACAAGUUAAAACAUAUAGCAAGCUUAAUUUUAAAAGUAGGCGUAGAGAAAUCGAGUUCGAAAGAAUGUUAAAGUUAUUUGUUUUAGACCCGAAACCAAGUGAUCUAACUAUGAGCAGGUUGAAGUUUUUUGAAAGAAAAAUGGAAGGCCGAACCCGUAUCUGUGGCAAAAGAUUGGGAUGACUUGUAGUUAGGGGUGAAAGGCCAAUCAAACUUGGAGAUAGCUGGUUUUCCGCGAAAUCUAUUUAAGUAGAGCGUCUUUGUAUUUUCGAUAUCUGGGGUAGAGCUCUCGAUGGGUGCGGGGGGCUUCGGCUUUACCAAGCUCACUGAAACUACGAAUACGGAAUAUUUGAACAAAGGCAGACAGACUUUGGGUGCGAAGAUCCUAAGUCAAGAGGGAAACAGCCCUGAAUGCAUAAUAAGGUCUCUAAUUUCUAUUGAGUGAUAAAGGCUAAAAAACUCGAGGAUAAUCAAAAGGUAAGCUUGGAAGCAGCUAUCCUUGAAAGAAGGCGUAAUAGCCCAUUGAGUAAGAGUUUUUUAUCCGAUAAUGUAUUGAGGCUAUAUAGAAAACCGAAUUAGCAUAUUAUUUUAUAUAAUGGUAGCGGAAUGAAGUAUAUAUCUAAACAGUUAAAUUGAUAAAUUUAAUUAAGAUUUUACUUAUAAGAAUGUUGGCAUGAGUAACAAAAAAUAACGGUCAAAACAUAAUCGUAUAUCCCGAAAAUCCUAGGUUUACAUAGAAAAGAACGACUUCUAUGUGUUAAUCGGUCUCUUAGGGUUACGCGAAAGUUAUACCUGAUGAGAAAUUUUUAUUUCUUUUUUUUAUUCGUUUAUAGAUAAAAAAUAUUUAUCAUAAACCAAGAAAUUCAUUAAAAAUAUAUAAAAAAAUAAAACCGUACUAAAACUGAUACAAGUGGAUAGGUAGAAUAUACUAAGGUGUUUGGAAUAACUAUGUUGAAGGAACUCGGCAAAUUAGCUUUGUAACUUCGGAAGAAGAAGUGUCUUUUUUAUAAAAAAGAUAACAUUAAAGAAGGGGGAACGACUGUUUAACAAAAACACAGGACUCUGCAAAAUUGAAAGAUGACGUAUAGGGUCUGACACCUGCCCGGUGCUAAUUAGUUAAAAGGAUAUGUAUAAGCAUUGAAUAAAAGCGUUAGUAAACGGCGGCCGUAACUAUAACGGUCCUAAGGUAGCGAAAUUCCUUGUCGGGUAAGUUCCGACCUGCACGAAUGGUGUAACGAUUCCCCCACUGUCUCCAACAUAGAUCCAGUGAAAUUAAGAUACCUGUGAAGACGCGGGUUACUCGUGGCUAGACGGAAAAAGACCCCGUGCACCUUUACUGCAUCUUGUUAUUGUUUUAAGAAAAAAAAUAUGUAGAAAUAGGUGGGAGUUUAUACAUUCUUGAAAUACCACUAAUUUUUUUUCGAGAAACUAAUCUGUAUAGAGACAGUAAUAGGUUGGUAGUUUGGCUGGGGCGGCCUCCUCCUAAAAAGUAACGGAGGAGUACAAAAGGUAAGCUCAAAUUAUUUAAAAUUAAUUGAGGAGCGCAAUGGUAAAAGCUUGCUUAACUGAAAGAUUUAUCGAUCUAUCAGGAACGAAAGUUGGUCAUAGUGACCCAAUAGUACUUUGUGGAAAGGCUAUUGCUCAACAAAUAAAAGGUACGCCGGGGAUAACAGGCUAAUGACUCCUAAGAGUCCUUAUCGACGGAGUGUUUGGCACCUCGAUGUCGGCUCAUCACAUCCUGGGGCUGAAGCAGGUCCCAAGGGUUCGGCUGUUCGCCGAUUAAAGUGGUACGCGAGCUGGGUUCAGAACGUCGUGAGACAGUUCGGUCCCUAUCUACCAUGAGUGUAAGAAAAUUGAGAGAAUCCGACCUUAGUACGAGAGGACCGGGAAGGG